rnacentral:rRNA from 1 species
GAGCGAACGCUGGCGGCAGGCUUAACACAUGCAAGUCGAGCGGGCCCUUCGGGGUCAGCGGCGGACGGGUGAGUAACGCGUGGGAACGUGCCUUCUGGUCUGGAAUAACCCUGGGAAACUAGGGCUAAUACCGGAUACGCCCUUUUGGGGAAAGGUUUACUGCCGGAAGAUCGGCCCGCGUCUGAUUAGCUAGUUGGUGGGGUAACGGCCUACCAAGGCGACGAUCAGUAGCUGGUCUGAGAGGAUGAUCAGCCACACUGGGACUGAGACACGGCCCAGACUCCUACGGGAGGCAGCAGUGGGGAAUAUUGGACAAUGGGCGCAAGCCUGAUCCAGCCAUGCCGCGUGAGUGAUGAAGGCCUUAGGGUUGUAAAGCUCUUUUAUCCGGGACGAUAAUGACGGUACCGGAGGAAUAAGCCCCGGCUAACUUCGUG